UGAGCAACCUGCCCUUGACCCUGGAAUAACAGCUGGAAACAGCUGCUAAUACCGGAUAUGACCUCCGAUGGCAUCAUCUGGAGGUGGAAAGCUCCGACGGUCAAGGAUGGGCUCGCGGCCUAUCAGCUUGUUGGUGAGGUAACGGCUCACCAAGGCUUCGACGGGUAGCCGGCCUGAGAGGGCGACCGGCCACACUGGGACUGAGAUACGGCCCAGACCUNUACGGGAG
rnacentral:rRNA from 1 species